GCUAGUUCAAAGCUGGUAUAUUUGCUCAAAUACUUUUACUAUGCAAUAUGGUUCGAUUCCGGAGAGGGAGCCUGAGAAAGGCUACCACAUCCAGGAAGGCAGCAGGCGCGCAACUUACCCAAUCCCGACACGGGGAGGUAGUGACAAUAAAUAACAAUACAGGGCUCUUUUGGGUCUUGUAAUUGGAAUGAGUACAAUUUAAAUCCCUUAACGAGGAACAAUUGGAGGGCAAGUCUGGUGCCAGCAGCCGCGGUAAUUCCAGCUCCAAUAGCGUAUAUUAAAGUUGUUGCAGUUAAAAAGCCCGUAGUUGAAUUUGAGAAUUAAUUUUAAGGUCCAUUUAACGAUGAGUACUUUAAAAUUGAUUCUUACCUUUUGGUGAACUAAAUGAUUGAAAGAUUGUUUAGGGAACCAAAAAUUUUACCUUGAGAAAAUUAGAGUGUUCAAAGCAGGCCUAAAGCCGGAAUACAUUAGCAUGGGAAUAAUAAAAUAGGACGUGUGAUUCUAUUUUGUUGGUUUUUAGAAUUACCGUAAUGAUUAAUAGGAACAGUUGGGGGGCGUUUGUAUUCAGUAGCUGGAGGUGAAAAUUCUUGGAGUAAACAGAAAGACAAACUACUGCGGGGGGCCAUUUGCCGGACGAAGGUUUUCCAUUAAUAAAGUGAGGAAAAUUUUGCGCGAGCCCCAGAAAACUUAGGAAGGGGGGUUGGUA
rnacentral:rRNA from 1 species